rnacentral:lncRNA from 1 species
GAGGAGGAGCUCAGUCAAAUUUUAUAUGAGGGGAGACCAAGUUUGAUCUUGCCGAGAGAUCCUCGUUCUGUAAACCCCGGCCCAGAACAAUCCCAGGGGCCUUAACUACAGACUCUAAUUGGGCGCAUCAGCAUCACGAGUAGGACUCAACUACUUGUGGACCAAGGUGACACUUAGGAAUCCCAAGAAGCUCCAGCCAUAAAGGGAGUCGGUAUCCUUCCUCCAAUUGUAAACCCCAGCACUCCCACUGAACACACUGGCCAUGCCAAAAGUUCACACAUCGGCCACGCAAAGAGCUCAAAGAGAUCCAUUCAGUACCUGGGAAGGCACGAUCACUACGGGGAGAAUCAGAAACCACGCGAUCGCCAGGUGGCCUUCAAAGAAGCCUCCUCCCAGAAGGUCCAGAAUCCCAUCCAGAGACAUUUCUGUCACUCUUCUCAAGCCACCUCAUCAUCUCUCUCUGCAGUUGAACUGCUGAUGUUUCUGAGAUUGUGGGUUUGUUCAAAAUGAAGCUUGGCAGA